rnacentral:rRNA from 1 species
CCUACGGGAGGCAGCAGUGGGGAAUUUUGGACAAUGGGCGCAAGCCUGAUCCAGCAAUGCCGCGUGCAGGAUGAAGGCCUUCGGGUUGUAAACUGCUUUUGUACGGAACGAAAAAGUCUGCCCUAAUACGGUGGGCCCAUGACGGUACCGUAAGAAUAAGCACCGGCUAACUACGUGCCAGCAGCCGCGGUAAUACGUAGGGUGCGAGCGUUAAUCGGAAUUACUGGGCGUAAAGCGUGCGCAGGCGGUUAUAUAAGACAGAUGUGAAAUCCCCGGGCUCAACCUGGGACCUGCAUUUGUGACUGUAUAGCUAGAGUACGGUAGAGGGGGAUGGAAUUCCGCGUGUAGCAGUGAAAUGCGUAGAUAUGCGGAGGAACACCGAUGGCGAAGGCAAUCCCCUGGACCUGUACUGACGCUCAUGCACGAAAGCGUGGGGAGCAAACAGGAUUAGAUACCCUGGUAGUCCACGCCCUAAACGAUGUCAACUGGUUGUUGGGUCUUCACUGACUCAGUAACGAAGCUAACGCGUGAAGUUGACCGCCUGGGGAGUACGGCCGCAAGGUUGAAACUCAAAUGAAUUGACCGGNGUGAGACGNGCGACGACGACGACGAGGGAGGAGG